AACGCACCUUGCGCCCCUUGGUAUUCCGAGGGGCAUGCCUGUUCGAGUGUCACUUUAACCUCUCACCCCCGGGCUUCACCGCUCGCGGCGUGGAUUUGGACGUCUGCCGUAGUAGGCUCGUCUUGAAAUGCAUUAGCCUUGCGUCCCGCCUCUGGCGAUCCGACGGUGUGAUACGCAUCUACACUGUCAGCGUCUCUGGUAGCAUGGCUCAUAAUCGUCCCGCUAGGGACAGCUUCUUAAGCCUUGACCUCGAAUCAGGUAGGACUACCCGCUGAACUUAA
rnacentral:misc_RNA from 1 species